AUUGAACGCUGGCGGCAGGCCUAACACAUGCAAGUCGAACGGUAACAGGAAGAAGCUUGCUUCUUUGCUGACGAGUGGCGGACGGGUGAGUAAUGUCUGGGAAACUGCCUGAUGGAGGGGGAUAACUGCUGGAAACGGUAGCUAAUACCGCAUAACGUCGCAAGACCAAAGAGGGGGACCUUCGGGCCUCUUGCCAUCGGAUGUGCCCAGAUGGGAUUAGCUAGUAGGUGGGGUAACGGCUCACCUAGGCGACGAUCCCUAGCUGGUCUGAGAGGAUGACCAGCCACACUGGAACUGAGACACGGUCCAGACUCCUACGGGAGGCAGCAGUGGGGAAUAUUGCACAAAGGGCGCAAGCCUGAUGCAGCCAUGCCGCGUGUAUGAAGAAGGCCUUCGGGUUGUAAAGUACUUUCAGCGGGGAGGAAGGGAGUAAAGUUAAUACCUUUACUCAUUGACGUUACCCGCAGAAGAAGCACCGGCUAACUCCGUG
rnacentral:rRNA from 1 species